CGUCUCUUGUGAUGUUUAGCACUGGGCUCAGAAAAUCAGUGCUGACAACGUGCAGCUCUGCCCGUGACACGGUGGAGUCUGAGGAGACG